GACGUAGGGCGCGAGCGUUGUCCGGAUUUAUUGGGCGUAAAGAGCUCGUAGGCGGCUUGUCGCGUCGUCUGUGAAAUCCCGUGGCUCAACUGCGGGCUGGCAGUCGAUACGGGCAGGCUGGAGUUCGGUAGGGGAGACUGGAAUUCCUGGUGUAGCGGUGAAAUGCGCAGAUAUCAGGAGGAACACCGGAGGCGAAAGCGGUGCACUGGGGCUGGUCUGACGCUGAGGCACGAAAGCCAGGGGAGCGAACGGG
rnacentral:rRNA from 1 species